GGACUGAAAAAAAAGAGGGUACCUCUUAGUUCUGCUCAAGCUUAACUAAUUUGCUUUUACUCUUCUGAUUUGCUGAGAUUUCCUUUGAAGCUGGUCUAGUAAGCUCAAGUACAUU